UACGAAGGGGGCUAGCGUUGUUCGGAAUUACUGGGCGUAAAGCGCACGUAGGCGGAUAUUUACGUCAGGGGUGAAAUCCCAGAGCUCAACUCUGGAACUGCCUUUGGUACUGGGUAUCUCGAGUGUGGAAGAGGUAAGUGGAAUUCCGAGUGUAGAGGUGAAAUUCGUAGAUAUUCGGAGGAACACCAGUGGCGAAGGCGGCUUACUGGUCCAUUACUGACGCUGAGGUGCGAAAGCGUGGGGAGCAAACAGG
rnacentral:rRNA from 1 species